rnacentral:rRNA from 1 species
GAUGAACGCUGGCGGCGUGCCUAAUACAUGCAAGUCGAGCGAACGGACGAGAAGCUUGCUUUUCUGAUGUUAGCGGCGGACGGGUGAGUAACACGUGGGUAACCUACCUAUAAGACUGGGAUAACUUCGGGAAACCGGAGCUAAUACCGGAUAAUAUUUUGAACCGCAUGGUUCAAAAGUGAAAGACGGUCUUGCUGUCACUUAUAGAUGGAUCCGCGCUGCAUUAGCUAGUUGGUAAGGUAACGGCUUACCAAGGCAACGAUGCAUAGCCGACCUGAGAGGGUGAUCGGCCACACUGGAACUGAGACACGGUCCAGACUCCUACGGGAGGCAGCAGUAGGGAAUCUUCCGCAAUGGGCGAAAGCCUGACGGAGCAACGCCGCGUGAGUGAUGAAGGUCUUCGGAUCGUAAAACUCUGUUAUUAGGGAAGAACAUAUGUGUAAGUAACUGUGCACAUCUUGACGGUACCUAAUCAGAAAGCCACGGCUAACUACGUGC